rnacentral:rRNA from 1 species
CUUGUCUCUUAAUGGGGACCCGGUAUGAAUGGCACCACAUUUUCUUACUGUCUCCUUUCCUCACCUUACAAACUUCUAUUAAUGUGAAGAAGCAUUAAUAAAAAAGAAAGACGAGAAGACCCUGUCGAGCUUCAACUUCCACAAGAAAAUAAAACACUUUAAAAGAAAGCCAAAUCUAAAAAGAAGUUUUGGUUGGGGUAACCAUGGAGUAAAAGAAACCUCCAGAAUAAUUAAACCGAUAAUAAAUCAAAUAAAUAAUAAAAAGAACCAGAUAACCUCUGAGAAACAGAAAAAGUUACCGCAGGGAUAACAGCGUCAUCUCCUUUAAGAGUUC